GACGAACGCUGGCGGCGUGCUUAACACAUGCAAGUCGAACGAUGAAGCUAGAGCUUGCUCUGGUGGAUUAGUGGCGAACGGGUGAGUAACACGUGAGUAACCUGCCCCGAACUCUGGGAUAACUGCUGGAAACGGUAGCUAAUACCGGAUAUGACCAAUGAAGGCAUCUUCUGUUGGUGGAAAGAAUUUCGGUUCGGGAUGGACUCGCGGCCUAUCAGCUUGUUGGUGAGGUAACGGCUCACCAAGGCGACGACGGGUAGCCGGCCUGAGAGGGUGAUCAGCCACACUGGGACUGAGACACGGCCCAGACUCCUACGGGAGGCAGCAGUGGGGAAUAUUGCUCAAUGGGCGCAAGCCUGAUGCAGCAACGCCGCGUGAGGGACGACGGCCUUCGGGUUGUAAACCUCUUUUAGUAGGGAAGAAGCGAAAGUGACGGUACCUGCAGAAAAAGCACCGGCUAACUACGUGCCAGCCGCCGCAGUAA
rnacentral:rRNA from 1 species